GACGUAGGAGGCGAGCGUUAUCCGGAUUCAUUGGGCGUACAGGGCAAGUAGGCGGUUGUCAAAGUUGGGCGUGACAUCUCCUGGCUUAACUAGGAGGGGUCGUUCAAAACUAGGCGACUAGAGGGCAGAAGAGGAAAGCGGAACUCCUGAUGUAGCGGUGGAAUGCUCAGAUAUCAGGAAGAACACCAGUGGCGAAGGCGGCUUUCUGGUCUGCACCUGACGCUGAGAGGCGAAGGCCAGGGUAGCGAACGGACUUAGAUACCCGGGUAGU
rnacentral:rRNA from 1 species